rnacentral:tRNA from 1 species
GCCAGAAAUAGCUCAGUUGGGAGGCGUUAGAUUGAAAAUCUAAAGAUCCCUGGUUCGAAUCGAGGGUUCCGGCA